GACGAACGCUGGCGGCGUGCUUAACACAUGCAAGUCGAACGGAAAGGCCCUGCUUUUGUGGGGUGCUCGAGUGGCGAACGGGUGAGUAACACGUGAGUAACCUGCCCUUGACUUUGGGAUAACUUCAGGAAACUGGGGCUAAUACCGGAUAGGAGCUCCUGCUGCAUGGUGGGGGUUGGAAAGUUUCGGCGGUUGGGGAUGGACUCGCGGCUUAUCAGCUUGUUGGUGGGGUAGUGGCUUACCAAGGCUUUGACGGGUAGCCGGCCGGAGAGGGUGACCGGCAAAAGGGGGGUUGAGCAAAGGCCCGACGCCCGACGGGAGGCAGCAGGGGGGAAUAGACCAAAAGGGGGGGACGCCGCACGCAGCAGGGCCGGGUGCGGAAGAGCGGCCAUGGGGGUAGAACCCUGUUCCCCAUGUGAAGAAGGGGAAGGGAGGGUUGUGGAAAAAGAACCACGCGCUAAUAAGGCG
rnacentral:rRNA from 1 species